rnacentral:lncRNA from 1 species
CUACACCAGCCAACGCAAGCCUCGCAGACACAUAUUCCGUCAUUCCCAUAAGGGCACAGCGCCCUUUAGGAAACUCGCAUAGGCGGUGGCGCCAGAUCACCCUCUAGGUGUUAUAGUGAGAAACUCUAUGGUCCCACCAACACAGCAAUAGGCAAAUUUCCACAAA